rnacentral:rRNA from 1 species
UACGGAGGGUGCGAGCGUUGUCCGGAAUCACUGGGCGUAAAGGGCGCGUAGGCGGCCUGAUAAGUAGGGGGUGAAAUCCUGCGGCUUAACCGCAGGGCUGCCUUCUAAACUGUCAGGCUAGAGCACAGUAGAGGCAGGUGGAAUUCCCGGUGUAGCGGUGGAAUGCGUAGAGAUCGGGAAGAACAUCAGUGGCGAAGGCGGCCUGCUGGGCUGUUGCUGACGCUGAGGUGCGAAAGCGUGGGGAGCAAACAGG